rnacentral:rRNA from 1 species
UACGGAGGAUCCAAGCGUUAUCCGGAUUUAUUGGGUUUAAAGGGUGCGUAGGCGGCUUUGUAAGUUAGAGGUGAAAGCCCGGGGCUCAACUCCGGAAUUGCCUUUAAGACUGCAUCGCUAGAAUUGUGGAGAGGUAAGUGGAAUUCCGAGUGUAGAGGUGAAAUUCGUAGAUAUUCGGAAGAACACCAGUGGCGAAGGCGACUUACUGGACACAUAUUGACGCUGAGGUGCGAAAGCGUGGGGAGCAAACAGA